rnacentral:lncRNA from 1 species
GAUGUGGUAUCUCGAACCCAAUUUCAAGGCACUAUAACGGUGUAUAAUUGUACCGUUACAAAGUAUAGAUUAUAAUGUUGUCUACCCUAAACACCUAACGAACAAACACAUUGCACAAUGUGCACAAAAAUCAAUGUUGAUAUCAUCGAAAGAAGGCACUUGUAUUUCGAAUAUCACCGAUGCUGAGAGUUGGGAGAUCCAGAAACUGAUCUUGCAUUCACACUUGUAGUAGUUCUAACAGCACCCUGCUCUGUAGUGCUCCGGCUCUGCAAAAAUCGGAUGGUUAAUGAGAGAUCGCAAGAUGUAAUAUGCAGACUCCAAAACGAAACAUAAGAAUCAAAUGAACAAUGCAGCAAUUUGUGCCCACAAUUUAGAAGGAGCCGAGCUCAAGCUCGGUUCAUCAGCAGCCCUAAUCAUAUACCAUGCAUUUAUAGGAGGCUCUCCUCCGUAGCCAUACUAAUUUCGCAUGCGAAAUAAUUCUAGUUUUGGUGUGCAUUCCUAUUCCGCUAUUCGCCACAACUAGAAGCAAACAAGUGAUUAUUCUUUCAGAGCAUACUUGCAUUUAUAGGAGGCUCUCCUCCGUAGCCAUACUAAUUUCGCAUGCGAAAUAAUUCUAGCUUU